rnacentral:rRNA from 1 species
AUUGAACGCUGGCGGCAGGCCUAACACAUGCAAGUCGAACGGGUGGCGGACGGGUGAGUAGUGUCUGGGCAACUGCCCGAUGGAGGGGGAUAACUACGGGAAACGGUAGCUAAUACCGCUAACCAUGCGUUGUGCCCAGAUGGGAUUAGCUAGUAGGUGGGGUAACGGCUCACCAAGGCGACGAUCCCUAGCGGGUCUGAGAGGAUGACCAGCCACACUGGAACUGAGACACGGCCCAGACUCCGACGGGAGGCAGCAGUGGGGAAUAUUGGACAAUGGGCGAAAGCCUGAUGCAGCCAUGCCGCGUGUAUGAAGAAGGCCUUCGGGUUGUAAAGUACUUUCAGCGGGGAGGCGGUACUCGCAGAAGAAGCACCGGCUAACUCCGUGCCAGCAGCCGCGGUAAUAC